ensembl:lncRNA
AUUAGAAUUGCGUUAGUUAUGUGUUUAUGUCACUGAGUUCUGCAAAAAUCUCUUUCCUCUUUAGCUUGAAAAUGAGUGAUUCAGAGGAUCCCGAGCUGGAGGAAGAGCUUCAGGCUGCUGACGAACUCCUUCAAGAUAUGCAGAAUGAUGCACAGAGUGAACCUCAGCCAAGACCAGUGCGCUGGAAAAAACGUGACAGACAGGGAGCUUUUAUUCCUCAAAGACCAUCAACCAGUCGAAGUACUAGUUGCAUGCCACGUGUGUCCAGAGAGCAGCAUCAAUGUCCACGUGAAGAACCUAGUUAUGUUGCCAGUGUCAACCCAACAAAAGGUACUUUACCUUCUUGUAUAUAUUGUGAUUUCUGUUUACUUUUAUAUUUGUUGUUAUAGUUGAGUUAUGCAGGGCUUUUGUGGAGUCCUAAGAAACAUACUGCCUAGAGUGUUUUUCAGAGUUUCUUCCUUUCUUUUUUUUUUUUCUGUUAGUGUAUGGAACUGAGGUGCUUCGUCAGGAGCUCCUUCAGUUGUUGGAGGAUGGAGAAGAGGACGCAGCCAUGACUUGUGAGACGUCGUCUGAGUCAGCUGCUACUCACUGGGCGAUCAGAAAUAUGGUGUCCUCGCAAAAGUGGAAAGAGGCCAGGCCUUGUCUUAUAGACAAUAUGUUAGCUACUCUGGAUCCACAGUCACACCGUGUGUGUCAGUGUGGCAAACAAGUAGUUGUGAGGUGUCUGGACUGCCUGCCUCUUCCAUUCCUUUGUGCUGACUGUGAUAUUGCAGUUCACACACGCUUUGUCCUGCACAGCAGAGAGGCAGUAACAGGAGGGUUUUUGCAGCCUUCAUCAGAGUUUCACAAGCCAAUAGUUCGGCUGUUGCCUGUGCAAAGGCCAGACCAUGUGUGUGACUGCCCAGCAGGUAACGUUGAGGUUUCACCCGGCGCAAUUGUGGCUCUUGUAACCAUAAAUGGCCGUUAUAACCUUGCACUGCCAGUGGUGAGCUGCACCAGCUGUGGCCUAAUGUGGUCCCCCUCAGUUAAGGACAUCCUGGGUAGUGGAUAUUGGCCUGGCACCUUAAAUUUCUGCACCCUGUUUUCAAUGGAUGUCUUUCAGUCUUUCUAUGACAUUAAGAAGGCUGCACCAGGGAUGUCACUUAAGGCAUUUGUCAAAAUGCUGGAUGAACGAACAGCCCAUUUUGGAAGGAAUGGCCGAAUAUCAGCUGAUGCCUUCAGUAAAAGUUUCUUGGAGUGGAGUGCUGUAAAGUUUGAGGUGGACAAGAUGUGCAAGGAGCCAUGCUUUAGCUGCCCUGCCUGCACUCCAGACAUGCUUGCCGUCUCAGUUGAUGGAAACCGCAAGCUUUAUCGCUUUCAGUCUAAUGCAAGGUACGUUAUGCAUUGUGUACAUAAGUCAAAUAUGGAUUUGUAGAAAAAUGUAUUUUAAUGUUUCUUUUCAAACAACUGUCACUGUGUUCGUUCAGCACUUCAGAGCAGGGGAACUUUGAAGGUGUCUUCAUUGAAAAAGAUGAGGAAGUUGCUGAGUUUGUGAAAUACAUCCAGAGACACACAAAUCAUGUAAGAUACACAUAUAUAUAUUAGUGCUGUUAGCGUUAAUCUUGUUAAAAUGACGUUAAUGCCGUAACCAUAUACGUGUGUGUGUGUGUGUGUGUGUGUGUGUGUGUGUGUGUGUGUGUGUAGACAUAUAUGGAUGGGUCGAUAUUUUUUUUAAUUUUUCUCUUGGUGUUGUCGUAAUACUAUUUACUUUACUUUAUCUUAAUGUGUACUUAAUUUUGUCACCAUGUGUAUUUAAAAAAAACAACAUGAUUUUUAUUUUGUGUUAUCAGUGCUGUCCUGGGGAGAUAUGAGGUCUUGUGUGACUCGAGGCUAAUUCAGCUAAUUGUUAUGCGUUUGUUUUAAAAAGUUUGUCCCUGAUAGGGCUUCAUCAUGUCAUGUCUUUUAUGUUAAAAUCUUUGAGUGUAUAGGUCCCGGGGAAAGGGUUGUGCGGAUCUUCAUCUUGGACUGCAGCAAAGGAGUCGUCCAAAAAGUCCACUGGGAAGUUGGAUGAGGAGGGCAUGGAAAUAGCUGUUUGUCGCCACGGAGUCCUCUUAGCUGCAUUGAACAUGUUUCGAGGGGAGAUCUUUGCUUACCCCCUUUUUCUCCAGAGGAAGUUGGCAGCUAGCAUCCCAGGACAUAUUACGUUCCUUUGCUCCGAUGUGGCCUGUAAAUAUUUCCCCUAUUUAACCAAGGUGGCUCAGCAGUGCCCUGAGCUGAGGAACCUCUUGUCAAUGCGUCCUUUUCUCUCCGUCAUGCAUGCAAAGGCUCACACUUGGAAAUGCGAGAUCAAAUGGGGAGGUGCGUUUCAGGAUGGGGCCGGUUCAACAGUUGGAGAAGAGGUGGAACAAGUAAACAGUUUCCUGUCUAGGGCGGCCAUCACAACGAAGUACAUGUCUAAAGCAGGGCGAACAGACAUGCUGACCCUCCUGGCUUUGGGGUGGAACAAAAGGAAAGUGGAACAACUGGGCCGCACUUUGAGCCAGUGAUAUCUAAAGGUCAUUUUUUCAACACCCAUUUUAAUGUGUGUGGUAAUGGGGGGGAAAACACCAGUACUCUUUUAAUGUCAAUAUGAAUGACAUUUAUGAAUGUAUUCUUAGAUCAUAAGGAUCCUUAGAGAACAAGUGGAGAGCCUGAAUGCGACCAGAAAUGAGCUGGGUGUGGAUGACGACACGCUGCAGCAAUGGGUGGCCGAUGUGCAGAAAUGGGCUGAAGAAAGUGAUCAAACUGAUGGCAGCCUUGGAGCGUUGCAGGCACGAAUAGAGGAGCUUGUCGUCAUCAUCAGAGUGCGAACACAAAGUCUUUACAGACAAAAUGAUAGCAACAAGAGGCGACACAGAAUUCGCAAGGUCAUCUUAGUUGAGAAGAAACGCUUGGCGGCUGCUGUUGACGACUACAACAAGCUCGCUGAACCAACAAAGCAAAUCGUAUCCAGUGAUGCCCUCAUGCAGACCGAUAUUUGGCCCUGGCAGAGCACAAGUGAACCUGCUGCUGACCUCCGGACAAAGAGAAAGGUCUUUGAGAAGGUGAUGGCUGUGAGGCGCCUGAGAGAGGAGGAGAUGAUCCUUUGCAGGGAGAUGCGGCAUCACUGGACAGUGUUGCGAAUGCGUUCUGUGGUGUUGGGGACAAUCUCCUCAGACUGUAAGCACUUUAUUUAUUUAUUAAUUUUUUGAUGAAUCGAUUGAAAAUAAGAGCAGAUGCUAAAGUCUUACUGGAUCUUUUACCUAUAUCUAGAUUGCUAGCUAACACUGCCUUCUCCCUUUUAAAAAAAUGUUUAAUUACAGCAUCCUAAUUCCUUGUGUUUAUGAGGUGAUGUUUUUUUGUUGUUUGUUUUUUUUACUUUUCUCAUAUUUAUUUGUUUUGUUCUUUUUACAGCCUCCUUUGUUGGCAUGUCGGAGGAUGCACAGAAGGGACUCUGUAGCCUGGUUUUAAAAAAACAAAGUGAACUGAAAGCUGAAAUGCUCAAAGUAAAGGACAUGUACAAGAGAAUCCUCAGCCACCAACCACUCCUGGAAAUGGACUCGGAGGAGGAGGAGGACAUUCCAGACGAUGCCACUGAGAGUGAUUUGAGCACUUCUGAUGAAGACUGAUUGUGUCAUCAUUGAUGUUAUGUUUGGUAAAAUAAAAAGUUAAUCACAUCUCUGUUCAAUGUGAUUUUUCAACAGACAUUUUACAUUUUGAGAAGAAAAAUGGAAUUUCCUUGGUGCAGUUGUUUACCCUGAAUCAUUAUUUCCCAUCUAAUUUAAUGACUAGUGUACAUGUUCA